rnacentral:lncRNA from 1 species
CAGAGUAGGAUGUCCGAGCUGUUGCUUAGCACAUACUUGUUAGCUCGCACUGUUUGAGGCUCCCCACAAUAUUCGGGGGGGACAGCGAUCAUUUGGUAUGAGAAAAGGAUGCCGGAAGAAUACCCCGUCAGCCUGUGAUACCCGGGCGUCACUCUACAGUCAGAUCUCAAUUCAUCCAGAAGCUCCCAAGUCCAUCUUCGAUGCCCACGUGUCCUGGCCCUGGGGUCCACUCCUAUCUCGCACACACCACCUUCUCCGUUCUCUGCACUGAGGCCAGUGCCUCGUCUCCGGCGAUUCUCCAGGACAGUCUAGUUUCUUCAUCCACAGGCAGGGAUCAGCACCUUCUGAGUAUGUGAGGACGCCAUUUGCAGAUCCAAAGUUCUCCUGGACACUCUCUCGCCUCAGGACUCUGAAUAUAAAGACAGAUGCCAUAUGUUUUCAUCCUAUGUGGAUCCUGAGAAACUUAACAGAAGAACCAUGGGGGAGGGGAAAGAAAAAAAGAAGGUUAGA